rnacentral:rRNA from 1 species
AACGAACGCUGGCGGCAUGCCUAACACAUGCAAGUCGAACGAGACCUUCGGGUCUAGUGGCGCACGGGUGCGUAACGCGUGGGAACCUGCCCUUAGGUUCGGAAUAACUCCCCGAAAGGGGUGCUAAUACCGGAUAAUGUCUUCGGACCAAAGAUUUAUCGCCUUUGGAUGGGCCCGCGUUGGAUUAGCUAGUUGGUAGGGUAAAAGCCUACCAAGGCGACGAUCCAUAGCUGGUCUGAGAGGAUGACCAGCAACACUGGGACUGAGCCACGGCCCAGACUCCUGCGGGAGGCAGCAGUGGGGAAUAUUGGACAAGGGGCGAAACCCUGAUCCGGCAACGCCGCGUGAGUGAUGAAGGCCUUAGGGUCGUAAAGCUCUUUUACCCGGGAUGAUAAUGACAGUACCUGGAGAAUAAGCUCCGGCUAACUCCGUG